AGAGUUUGAUCCUGGCUCAGAGCGAACGCUGGCGGCAGGCUUAACACAUGCAAGUCGAACGGGCGUAGCAAUACGUCAGUGGCAGACGGGUGAGUAACGCGUGGGAACGUACCUUUUGGUUCGGAACAACUGAGGGAAACUUCAGCUAAUACCGGAUAAGCCCUUACGGGGAAAGAUUUAUCGCCGAAAGAUCGGCCCGCGUCUGAUUAGCUAGUUGGUGGGGUAAUGGCCCACCAAGGCGACGAUCAGUAGCUGGUCUGAGAGGAUGAUCAGCCACAUUGGGACUGAGACACGGCCCAAACUCCUACGGGAGGCAGCAGUGGGGAAUAUUGGACAAUGGGGGCAACCCUGAUCCAGCCAUGCCGCGUGAGUGAUGAAGGCCCUAGGGUUGUAAAGCUCUUUUGUGCGGGAAGAUAAUGACGGUACCGCAAGAAUAAGCCCCGGCUAACUUCGUGCCAGCAGCCGCGGUAAUACGAAGGGGGCUAGCGUUGCUCGGAAUCACUGGGCGUAAAGGGUGCGUAGGCGGGUUUCUAAGUCAGAGGUGAAAGCCUGGAGCUCAACUCCAGAACUGCCUUUGAUACUGGAAGUCUUGAGUAUGGCAGAGGUGAGUGGAACUGCGAGUGUAGAGGUGAAAUUCGUAGAUAUUCGCAAGAACACCAGUGGCGAANGCGGCUCACUGGGCCAUUACUGACGCUGAGGCACGAAAGCGUG
rnacentral:rRNA from 1 species